rnacentral:rRNA from 2 species
CAUGGCGGCCGCGGGWAUUCGAUUGGAAACAGAUGCUAAUACCGCAUAGAUCCAAGAACCGCAUGGUUCUUGGCUGAAAGAUGGCGUAAGCUAUCGCUUUUGGAUGGACCCGCGGCGUAUUAGCUAGUUGGUGAGGUAAUGGCUCACCAAGGCGAUGAUACGUAGCCGAACUGAGAGGUUGAUCGGCCACAUCGGGACUGAGACACGGCCCAAACUCCUACGGGAGGCAGCAGUAGGGAAUCUUCCACAAUGGACGCAAGUCUGAUGGAGCAACGCCGCGUGAGUGAGGAAGGGUUUCGGCUCGUAAAGCUCUGUUGGUAGUGAAGAAAGAUAGAGGUAGUAACUGGCCUUUAUUUGACGGUAAUUACUUAGAAAGUCACGGCUAACUACGUGCCAGCAGCCGCGGUAAUACGAUAAUCACUAGUGAAUUCGCGGCCGCCUGCAGGUCGACCAUAUG